GACGAACGCUGGCGGCGUGCCUAAUACAUGCAAGUAGAACGCUGAAGGAGGAGCUUGCUUCUCUGGAUGAGUUGCGAACGGGUGAGUAACGCGUAGGUAACCUGCCUGGUAGCGGGGGAUAACUAUUGGAAACGAUAGCUAAUACCGCAUAAGAGUAGAUGUUGCAUGACAUUUGCUUAAAAGGUGCAAUUGCAUCACUACCAGAUGGACCUGCGUUGUAUUAGCUAGUUGGUGGGGUAACGGCUCACCAAGGCGACGAUUCAUAGCCGACCUGAGAGGGUGAUCGGCCACACUGGGACUGAGACACGGCCCAGACUCCUACGGGAGGCAGCAGUAGGGAAUCUUCGGCAAUGGACGGAAGUCUGACCGAGCAACGCCGCGUGAGUGAAGAAGGUUUUCGGAUCGUAAAGCUCUGUUGUAAGAGAAGAACGAGUGUGAGAGUGGAAAGUUCACACUGUGACGGUAUCUUACCAGAAAGGGACGGCUAACUACGUG
rnacentral:rRNA from 1 species